rnacentral:tRNA from 1 species
GCGGGUGUGGUGAAAUUGGUAGACACGCCAGACUUAGGAUCUGGUGCCGCAAGGUAUGGGGGUUCGAGUCCCUCCACCCGCACCA